UGGUGGCAUAGAAUUUUACUGGCUAUGUGAACAUUUAGUAAUUAAUCACUAGAACAAAGGAGAAACCCAAAUAUUUCGAUUUUGUUCAUCCACAACAUGUAGUAACAAUCAACUGGAACUACCUGGAAAUAUACGGGAACAGAAUGCUUUUGCAGGGUGCUUAAAAACACGAUAUAUGGGAUCUAUGGGAUCAGGCAGACCUGGGUUAGAAUCCUGACUCUGCCAUUUCUUUGCUUCAGUUCUUCAGAUUUGGACUCUUGAGCAAGGCACUUAACCACAGUGAGCCUCAUUUCCCCAUCUAAGACAUGAAGAUCAUGAUAGUAUCACUUUAUAAGGAUUGUUUAUAAGAGGGUUAAAGCACAGAUAACACAUGUAAAGACUGGUACUUAGCAAGCAUUUGGUAAAUAUUAGCUGCUAUUAUAUCACCCCAUAGGCUGAAAUGCUGCAUAUCACACUACAUGGGCAUUUUCAAGCAAUCUAAGAGGCACCCAGGAGUUGUCCAUUCAUCUUUAUUCCUUUAUUUAAUCCUCCCCAUGUAUUAUAUAAGCUUAGGUAUAUAACUUCUAUUACAUAAAGAAGUAGUAAAGGCACAAUGUUUACUUACACAAUUACAUGUAGUGAAUUAGCACUUUUGUAACUCAGAGACAUGAAUACCCUGAAAUUACCGAUUUGGUGA
rnacentral:lncRNA from 10 species